rnacentral:tRNA from 1 species
AUGGAUUUAAACCCCAAAUAUAAAGUUUUACUUUUUUUUAGAA